GAUGAACGCUGGUGGCGUGCCUAAUACAUGCAAGUCGAGCGAACGGACGAGAAGCUUGCUUCUCUGAUGUUAGCGGCGGACGGGUGAGUAACACGUGGAUAACCUACCUAUAAGACUGGGAUAACUUCGGGAAACCGGAGCUAAUACCGGAUGAUAUUUUGAACCGCAUGGUUCAAAAGUGAAAGACGGUCUUGCUGUCACUUAUAGAUGGAUCCGCGCUGCAUUAGCUAGUUGGUAAGGUAACGGCUUACCAAGGCAACGAUGCAUAGCCGACCUGAGAGGGUGAUCGGCCACACUGGAACUGAGACACGGUCCAGACUCCUACGGGAGGCAGCAGUAGGGAAUCUUCCGCAAUGGACGAAAGCCUGACGGAGCAACGCCGCGUGAGUGAUGAAGGUCUUCGGAUCGUAAAACUCUGUUAUUAGGGAAGAACAUAUGUGUAAGUAACUGUGCACAUCUUGACGGUACCUAAUCAGAAAGCCACGGCUAACUACGUG
rnacentral:rRNA from 1 species